GAUGAACGCUGGCGGCGUGCCUAAUACAUGCAAGUCGAGCGAACAGAUAAGGAGCUUGCUCCUUUGACAUUAGCGGCGGACGGGUGAGUUACACGUGGAUAACCUACCUAUAAGACUGGGAUAACUUCGGGAAACCGGAGCUAAUACCGGAUAACAUAUUGAACCGCAUGGUUCAAUAGUGAAAGGCGGCUUUGCUGUCACUUAUAGAUGGAUCCGCGCCGUAUUAGCUAGUUGGUAAGGUAACGGCUUACCAAGGCAACGAUACGUAGCCGACCUGAGAGGGUGAUCGGCCACACUGGAACUGAGACACGGUCCAGACUCCUACGGGAGGCAGCAGUAGGGAAUCUUCCGCAAUGGGCGAAAGCCUGACGGAGCAACGCCGCGUGAGUGAUGAAGGUCUUCGGAUCGUAAAACUCUGUUAUCAGGGAAGAACAAAUGUGUAAGUAACUGUGCACAUCUUGACGGUACCUGAUCAGAAAGCCACGGCUAACUACGUG
rnacentral:rRNA from 1 species